rnacentral:sRNA from 1 species
ACUAGUGAGCAGCAAUGACAAAAAACAAAUACACGAAAAGCUAGAAGUGAGAUGGAGAAGAAAAAAAAAUGCCUCAAGUACUCAGAAACUGGAAGAUAAUGGAAGUCCCUGUUGUGUAGUCUUGGGGUUUAAGAACUGGAAAAAAACACAGAAAAGCCAAAGACCAUAAAAGCUUGAAUGAGAAGGAAGAGCUGUGUCACCCCCAUCUUCUCUGAGAGGUUGAAGCAGGGGACUCUACAUGUGGAUGGAUAACAAGAACAGCUGAUGUUGAGGAUGUUAUUGGAAACAGAUGGAAUUAAAUAAAAAGUCACACAUGGGACAAAGAGCUUCUCAUCAUUUCUUUUUCUAUUAGGCUCAUGCAGUGCUCCAAGAUAAGUUGUGCCCUAUACUGCCCUAGCCUGCACCACCCAAGAGCUUGGUGAGUCCUCUCUGAGGAGGGGGAAUUCAGAUGAUUAGCUCUUGAAUAAUAGAUUUAGAGAUUCUUUUUUUCAUUAACCCGAAAGGAAACUCACGAGGGCACAGUCUGAAAGAGGUGACCAUAAUGGUCCUUUGGCUAAGAGGAGCUUGUCCAUGAUCACAUUACAUUGGGAGAUAGACACAUAAAGGAGCAGCAGAAGGAGCUGUGGACAAAGGUCAGGAAGGAGCCACCAAUAAGAGCUAAGGAAAGAGUUAAAAGGACAACAAAGAAGACAGUCUGUAUAAAGAUUAGAAGUGACACUGAGCACAUGGAACUGAGGGUAGGGGUUUGGAACAGAAAACCAAAGGUUCUGUGGCCCCCUAACAUUAGGAUACCAAGGAAUUUCAUAGAGAACAGACAGGACAAAAGUGAGAACAAAAAGAGAGUGCAAGAAAAAUUCCUGAACAGAAAGACGAGAGUCUCCAGACAGUGUCUGGAAAUAUCCAUCCAAAUUCCACUUGAAGGGAACAUCUGAACAUCCCGGAGAAUCUGAGUUCCACGGGUACAGCCAGCAUAACGCACUCAGCACAGACAUGAGCAGUGCCUGACAGUGGCAGGCCGGAGUCCUUGGGAAACAACCUUCACCGUCCUGAGAGAGAAGGCCAAAGGAUAGCUUCUUUACAUUUACUCUUAAGAGGGGUCUGUGCAUAGACUCAAAAAAUUACCAAAACUAAACAAAGGAAGCAAUCGAUCUAGGAGAGGUGGGAAGGAGUUUCAAGUGCCGGGCUCUCUGCAGCAGAUCUAGAAAGUGAUCAGAGCAGAGUAGGCACCAGAAAAGAUGGGAAUUCUUCAAGGACAACUGACACACAGAGCCUGCAGCACUGGUUCCAAAGCUCAGAGAAGAUUCUGCACUUCAGGCAGUCUGGAGGUAAGUUAGUAGGAUGCUCGUUAAAAAUGAACGAGGAGCUGGUACAAUGACUAAUUCCAGCAGACAGGAAAAGGAAUCAAAGAAAAUGGAUUUUUGCAUAUAUCUUACAGCUCAUCCCUGAACGGACCGUACAUGAUGAUUCUAAUUGUGUGAAGCUUAGCGGUGACAUAUCAUUACCUUAAAAUAAGUAAAUAAAAUGAAAGAAAGUGGGGGUGAGAGUAAAAGAGAGAAGGGGGGAGUGGGAAAUGCCUGAAAGCUGUUUCCCCUAUAGUACCAGGAAGCUCUUGCUUGCAUGAGGAUAUCUGAAUUCUCUUUACAGCACUCCCUUCUACCCCAGCCCUGUGCUGAUUAGAGUCACCCAACACCUUUGGCUUUCCAGCUGUGCCCAUCUUCUCUCCUAUCUCAGAAUUGUCCUUAUCACCCCUCUUCUCCAUGUUUGAUUAUUUAAACUGUUCUCUGCACUCUGUGAAAGUCUUUAUGGCCACCCCCAUUUUCAGGGAACUUUCCCCUUUUUAAACUACCAAGGCAGUUACUAUGUGCACUCAAUUAGCCUUGGGGAUUUUGCAUUUCAGCUUUCCUGGAGAUGUGUGCAAUGAAUGCCUCUGUACAGGUCUUGAGGACAGAUUCUCCCACUGUGGCUCAUGGGGUGCCACGGAGCUGUCUACAUGUGAACAACAGGGGUUGGUUGUGACUCUCUACUGAUCUCCUGUGCCUGUGGUCCUGGACCUGAGACGACAGAAUCUGUCAUUUCUUAGAGACACUGCUUGUUCUAUGCUCGGAGCAUGGCGCCCAGGGAGAGGAGAUAAUUUGGACACAGAUGGAGUGUCCCCAGUACAAUCGGUGGCAGUUUUGUUUUGGACAAGCUGUUCAUAACAAAGCCGCGUGGGAAAAGAAUCAGCAGGUGGAGAGAGUGGUCAAAUCAAGUCUUAGCUCCUCGAGGAAGAGAAAAGGCAAGAGGCAUUCCAAGUCUUAAAGUACCGGGAGUCCACCCUCUCUUCCCAGCCCUUCCCCUGGAACGAGGAGAGACCUCUCAACUUGCUGCUCCAGCUACUGCCUUCCAUAUCUCCCCCAUAGUCAUGGACUCCUCCUCUGGAACUGUGGCCAGAAUAAACUCUCUCUUUCAUUAGUCUCUUUGGGUCACAGUGCUUUAUUACAGGAGCAGCAACAAUAACGACGAUAACGACGAUAACUAAUACGGAGGCCUUCCCACGUGGGAUGGAACGCAGAUACUCUCCAGCCAAGAAAUGUGACAAAGGAGUGAGACCAUGAAGUACAAGGCUUUGCGUAUCUUUACUCGCAAAGUCAAGAAGGCUGUGUUUCCUGUUGAUGAGCAGAUGGAAUUCUGGGGCUGUCCUGGCAAAGAAAAAAGCCCACAAUGUGUCACAACAUGUCCUGAAAGGCGAAAACAGCUCAAUAUCAUUGGGACAAAGGCUUGCAAGUAUCCACACCUAUCUUAACUCCAAAACAGUGAGAGAUGCCCAGGUAAAGUAAACUAUGGUCCUUAAAUAUACUUCCUAUUUAUAGCUUUUCUGCCUUUCCAGAUAUCCAUUCAUCCCUUCGGCUCACAAUUCAUAAGUCAAUUCAUUUAUUCAUGAACUUGUCCAGUACACAUUUGCCAGGUGUGUGCUCUGCAUGGAGUUCUAGGCAAGACAGUGACAGUACAAGAGCAAAUGACCCACCUUGAGUCUGACACCGAAGGUGUUCCAGCCAUCAUUAUCACCCUCACACGAACUCUUCUCCCACGAUUCCCAACAUUUCCAUCAUUCACACUGACGAGUUUUUUUCUUACCUGUGUCUUUGUUCUUUGUUCUUCCUGCCUGGAAUAACUGCUUUCCAUUUUUCUGCCCUCUCAAAAUCCCCAUAUUUCCCACAAGUCACAUGCAUUUCAAAAGUAUCAUUGUAAUUCCAUCUCCUCCACAUCCAUUUCCUGUAGCCCUAUAGGACAUUGUGAUCCAAUGGUCCCUUCUUUUGCUGUGAUCAUAGGAAUUAGGAAGACGGGAAAAAAGUGUUUUGGUAAUGGGUUCAUCUUAAGUCCUUUAGUGGGGUUCUUGUAGCAAGGACAAACUUCCUGAAGGACAGCAUGAAAGCACUCUUCUACUUCCAUCCACUGCUGAGCUCUUUCUUGAGGCCAUGAGGCCUUUGCUUGGAUAGCUACACAUGCAGCUGGCUCUGUGAGCCCUGGCUCUGCUGGCCCUGAUUCUUUGCAACCUCAUAGUGCUUGCUGGCAGUUCAAGCCUGAAAAUAGGAGAAACUACCUUAGAAUAUGCAACACCAGUCAACAGGAGCAAACUGCAGCAGGUAAAGAUUAUUCUGAUGCCUGUGGGAUCUCCUGAUGGACCUCUUCUAGAAGGUCUGGCUCAAAUGGGUGUCCAAUAAACUCAACACCAUGUGAGAAAUACAUUCUGAUGUUUUAAGGAGAAGGAACACAGCAACCCAAACCAAAAUACACCCUGUCUUCAACAUCUCCUAGGUUAUUGAUCAUGGAGUUGACCGCCACUUUUCAGACUGUGGCAUCUACACAAACUUGACCCGUGACAAGUAUGCCAUUACCACUAGUUGAUGUUCCUAAGGUCAUGGAUGCAUACUAGAAUCCCAGUGUUAUGUGGGAAACUCCUUUCACCAAGAAAUCUUCCCAUGGCCUAUGUCAAAUGGUGAAUGACUAGACAUUUCAAAAUGACCCAGAUCAAACUUUCCAAGACAGAUGACAAAGUCACUGAAUUAUAACUGUGUUAUGUGAUCCAGUGGGAAGAGAAGGACAGUGGCAACUGAAAUUCAUUCCUGAUCUUCUACCCAAGAACAAGAGCAGGACAGUAUUGGGAAUAAACCCUGUUCCUUCUCAGAACUAGAGAACUGGCCACAGGCAUAACUGUCUCAGAUUUCACUACCCCAAGUAGUAGCCUAAAAAAAUCAGUCCACAGCUUGCUAGAACAUACAACAAACAGAAGCAUAUGAUCCACACGGACUUUCAGAGACAUUGGUUUUGUGCAUAGAAUAUGUGCCCUUGGAGCUAUUAUGUCAGCACCAAUGACUUUAUCCUAUGGGAUAUCAGUCAACAACACAGACUCCCAGGGUUAGACUUUCAUAUACAGCUUAACUCACAUGUCUGUAGAGCAAGAAAAAAUAAGGAUACAGCAAACAACAAUUUCCAUUAGUGAUCCUAUAGCCUGGGGUUCUCAUUCUGUUCCAGUGGUCAACUCUCAUUAUGAACUUGAACAGUCAAUGACUCUUUCUUGAUCCUCCACAAGCCAUUCAUAAAACAGGCUUACUUUUACAGAAUCAGAUAUUCAAGGGUCCAGAGAAAGAACUGAGAAAGCUGACACCUAUGUAUGUCGGGUUGCUUCUUGUUUUGUUUUUGUUUUACACUAUUUACUUUCUGUUGCAUCCUUAGAGCCUGCCAGACAUGUCACACAGUACAGGUCACACAGACACCAGGCAUACAUGAGGUAUAAAAGAAUGAGUGGAGCUGGGCAUUGGCAGUCAUUCAUUCUUUCAAGAGCAAUCAAUACAUUUUUAAAAGCUUGCAGAGUAUCUGGAUUCCUUUUCU